CAAUAGCGUAUAUUAAAGUUGUUGCGGUUAAAAAGCUCGUAGUUGGAUUUCUGCUGAGAACGACCGGUCCGCCCUCUGGGUGUGUAUCUGGCUCUUUCUUGGCAUCUUCUUGGUGAACGUUGCUGCACUUGACUGUGUGGAGCGCUACCCAGGACUUUUACUUUGAGGAAAUUAGAGUGUUUCAAGCAGGCAUACGCCUUGAAUACAUUAGCAUGGAAUAAUAAGAUAGGACCUCGGUUCUAUUUUGUUGGUUUCUAGAGCUGAGGUAAUGAUUAAUAGGGAUAGUUGGGGGCAUUCGUAUUUAACUGUCAGAGGUGAAAUUCUUGGAUUUGUUAAAGACGGACUACUGCGAAANGANNNGCGAAGGAUGUUUUCAUNGA
rnacentral:rRNA from 1 species